UGAUGGUAACUAACGAAUCGAACAAAGUAACUUCAGCAAUAUCCUUUAAAUUACUCGAAGAUGCUGAAUGCUUUUUUAACGAAAAUAAAUCAUUUUCAGAUGAGAUAUUACAAUCUCUGUAUUCUAUCUUUGGGAUGACAUUUACUAAAGCGCUUGAAUUAUUAGAUAAUAGUCGAUUUGUCGUUUAUAAAACCGAUGAUAACUCCAGAAACAUUAUGAAAAUUGAAAAAAAUAAAGAUCAACAAAACUUUAUAUUUUCUGACAUUAAUUUUUGUCAUUGUAAUACAUUUAAACUACGUGUUUUAGAUUCGCAAACAUCUCUACUUUGUGAGCAUGUACUUGCCGCAAAAUUAUCUCGAAUUGUAAGAAAUUUUAGAAUAGAGCAAGUUAGUAAAGGUGAUUUAAAGAAUCUCUUGAAUGAACAAAUAUUUAGUUGAAUAUUGUGCAUGGUGCUGCCAUCUGUGUUAAAUGAUGUUACUUCACGCCAAAAAUUACGAAAAUGUCGAAUUUUCUCAUAGAAAACUGUCAGUUGGAACCCCACCUAUUCCUUGAAUAAAUCCGUUAAUAAAAGAAUAAUAUUGCUGGGUUGUGGUGUGUUUGAUAGGCGUGUGUACGUAUGCAAUUUAAUGGUUUAGUGUGUAU